rfam:Aedes albopictus isolate Foshan contig37218, whole genome shotgun sequence.
UAUUAUGUGGCUUAGUUAAUUGAAGCGCUGGACUAGCGAUACGGAGUCGUGGGUCCGAAUCCCACCAAAACAA